UGUUAAAUGCCUUUUGUUCUAGUGUAAAUUUUUUUCUAAAUAUUUGUUUAUCAUAUAUUUUGCAUUGUAGGUGACGAUCUGGAACAUGAUGAUAUUGAAGCAAGAGACGAACGUGCUGAGACAAACCAAAUAAUUGAUUGUAAUGUUGGGGCAUCUUCAACCAUGAAUGCUCCUUUCGUCCAAGGUGGAUAUACUAAUAUCGCAAUGCCCCCAUUCAAUUUAUUUGCCAAUCCUUCUGCAAUGGCUCCUCCAUACAUACCAGAAGGGUACACAAGUCUCUUAAUGGGAGUUGAUCAAGAUGCUACAACGCAAGCUGCUGUUAGGAAGUUACAUUUUGAUGAAUCUAUGUAGACAUGUUCUCAUGAAAUGAACCAUAUUGUUUUGUAAACUCAGACCCUAAGCACCUCAAUUAAAUCUUCAAAGUUGAUGAGUA